UAAAGUCUCUACUCAGCUGUAUCACACUGUUGAAUGGGACUCCAGUGUAUCCGGAACUGGGAACAUUCUACAUGGACAAAAGUUGCAUGUCAGCACCAGAGCUCCUCCCACUCCGUCUCCGUGAGCCAUUACACUUUGAGAGAACGUAAAUCUGGACGGCCCCCGCACAGGUUGUAGGUUUGGCAGUUUUGGCUGAUGAGGGUGAUGUUAAUUCAGUGGAAUCAGCAUCGCUUGGAUGAGCCGUCGACAGCAGCAGAGUCAUGGAGGCGCUUGCGGGACAUUAUCCGUCAUACGACAAAGUAAGAUGUCACUUACCUCUCUGAAGUCGAGGCCCGCAGGACAGCUACACGCACGUCUGAAGGCACGAGUGAAUGAAGGAGGGAUGUA